CCACCCCAGGUCCCAGUCCGGCGCCGUGUUGGCACGUGGCAGUGGCGUGUUCAGGCUGCUAGAGCGCCAGCCCUGCUCCUCUUGGGCCCGUCUUGUGAGCUCACAACCUAAAGACACAGAAGGAAGUUGGUGAGGUCGAGACCCAAGGAGGGCGGCUGGCAGCCCUGUGCAGGGCUGAGGGGGGUCCCUGAGGCAGCGGGUGGGGCAGUGGCAGCUGAGGAAGCCAGGAGAGUAAGAGCCCCCUCGGCCGGCCUCCAGCCCUGCCUCCUCUCCCAGACCCCCUCCUCCCUGCGGGCCCCUCCCACCCCAGCUUCGCCCACACAAGGCCGGGGGCGGUGGGCUGAUCAGUCAGCCCGCGGUGGCAGGGAAACCUCCCUGGGCCUGGGGCACCGCACCAACCCUGAGGCCAGACGGCAGCCAUCUGACCACAGUGGAGCCAGCCGGGCUCCCCAGAGAGCCCCAGAGGGGGUGUGGGACGGGUCUGGGACCAAGCCAAGGACACAUCUCACUGCGGGUUGGAAUGGGUUCCACCAGUCUGGAGUUGUCUUAGGGAUGAGUGGAUGCAUCUCCAUGGUAACCAGCCAUCUGCACAGUCACUUCACCACAAAUAAACAUCAUUAGAAAAUCAUGCUAUGUGCUUCCGUACACAUUCAUGUAUCAGAGAGUUUAUGCAAAAUACUGCAUUGCCACCGCUAGGGUGGCACUUGUGACCAGGGAGGAAUGAUUCUCUGCUUAGAGUAGGACCCUGAGCCUGAAGAGCCCUUGCUCUACAUAUGACUGCUCGUCCUUGGCGGGCAUGCCCGGACCCCUGAGUGUAGUUCGAGUUCUGAAAGAGACGGAAGCCAGGCUCCAGGCCCAGAGGCGGGCUGGGCUGAGGGCGGGGCAGCACGGACCAGGACGGCAGCUCCCUGGACCUGCGUCCUUCGAACCUCCCUGCCUCUGCCCCAGUGUGUUCUUGGGGCUUGUUCAAGCUGUCAGAAGAACCCGCUCACGCAAAAAAGGCACCUGGAGCCGUCGGAAAAUUCUGUGCCGGGUCAGGUGAGAACGAGUGGCUCCCAGUGGUGCGUCACAUGACCCACAGCAAAUGACCGCAAGGCUAUUAAACACAGCUCAGGGAGGUGCGGCCCGGUCCGUGAUUCAGACGGGGAAGUUCGGAAUGGAGCAACUGAAGAAAACCCAGCAGGCAGCCGAGGCCAAAGCCUGGGCUGCGUCAGCCAGAGGGUGACUCAGACGGCGCUGCGGGUGCCUUCUCUCCACUGUGUAUUUUCCUGGUCCGUGUCCAGUCCAGCCCAUCGCCCUCAUUCACCCUGGGCCCCGAAGGGGCAGUGACUCACUGGCUGACAGCUGCUCCCGAGGCCCCCCUUAGCUGUGUUGCCUCGGGAAACUCGGAUCUGCGAACACCCCUCGGAGCCCGGAGUCAGCCCUCGGCAGUGCGUGGGUUUUCUGGGCGGCGGCGGCGUUACCAGGCUCCUUGGGCUCAGCUGGGGCCGUGUCUUCGAAACCAGGUUAACAUAGUUUUGCAACUAAAAAUUAUGCUCAGGAGUUUUAAUCUGAACAUUUUUCUGGUCCGUAUGCAUCGCGUGAAAAUUACA